CGCGUAGGCGGCCUGAUAAGUAGGGGGGUGAAAUCCUGUGGCUCAACUGCAGGGCUGCCUCCUAGACUGUCGGGCUUGAGCACGGUAGAGGCAGAUGGAAUUCCCGGUGUAGCGGUGGAAUGCGUAGAGAUCGGGAAGAACAUCGGUGGCGAAGGCGGUCUGCUGGGCCGUUGCUGACGCUGAGGCGCGACAGCGUGGGGAGCAAACAGGAUUAGAUACCCUGGUAGUCCACGCCGUAAACGAUGGACACUAGGCGUCGGGGGGAGCGACCCUCUCGGUGCCGUCGCUAACGCAGUAAGUGUCCCGCCUGGGGAGUACGGCCGCAAGGCUGAA
rnacentral:rRNA from 1 species